GCCUUCAUAGUGUAAUGGUCAGCACACUUGGCGCGUAUUCGAGAGGUCCGAGGUUCGAGUCCCGAAGAGGGCA
rnacentral:tRNA from 1 species